GGCGCCUGUUUAUCAAAAACAUGUCUUUUUGAUUUUAAUUUAAAGUCUAACCUGCCCACUGAAUUUAUUUAAAUGGCCGCGGUAUAUUGACUGUGCAAAGGUAGCAUAAUCAUUUGUCUUUUAAUUGAAGGCUGGAAUGAAUGGUUGAAUGAAAUAUUAACUGUCUCAUUUUAAUAAAUAUAAAAAUUUUUCUUUUUAGUCAAAAGACUAAAAUUAAUUUAAAAGACGAGAAGACCCUAUAGAUCUUUAUAAUAUUAUAAUAUUAAUGAAUAUAGAAUUUUAUUAAAUUAAUAUUAUAAUAUUAUUAUGUUGGGGUGACAGAAAAAUUAAAUUAACUUUUUUUUUAUAAAACCAUUAAUAUAUGAAUAAUUGAUCCAAUUUUAUUGAUUAAAAAUUUAAGUUACCUUAGGGAUAACAGCGUAAUUUUUUUAGAGAGUUCAUAUCGAUAAGAAAGAUUGCGACCUCGAUGUUGAAUUAAAGAUUAUUUCUAGAUGCAGAAGUUUAGAGGUUAGGUCUGUUCGACCUUUAAAUCUUUACAUGAUCUGAGUUCAAACCGG
rnacentral:rRNA from 1 species